rnacentral:rRNA from 1 species
CCUACGGGCGGCAGCAGUGAGGAAUAUUGGUCAAUGGUCGGGAGACUGAACCAGCCAAGCCGCGUGAGGGAGGAAGGUACAGAGUAUCGUAAACCUCUUUUGUCAGGGAACAAAGACUGGGACGCGUCCCCGGAUGAGUGUACCUGAAGAAAAAGCAUCGGCUAACUCCGUGCCAGCCGCCGCGGUAAUACGGGGGAUGCGAGCGUUAUCCGGAUUUAGUGGGUUUAAAGGGUGCGCAGGCGGGCUGUUAAGUCAGCGGUAAAAUGCCGGGGCUCAACCCCGGCCCGCCGUUGAAACUGGCAGUCUCGAGUUGGAGAGAAGUAUGCGGAAUGCGCGGUGUAGCGGUGAAAUGCAUAGAUAUCGCGCAGAACUCCGAUUGCGAAGGCAGCAUGCCGGCUCCACACUGACGCUGAGGCACGAAAGCGUGGGGAUCGAACAGGAUUAGAUACCCGAGUAGUC